rnacentral:rRNA from 1 species
ACGAACGCUGGCGGCGUGCUUAACACAUGCAAGUCGAACGGAAAGGCCCUGCUUGCAGGGUGCUCGAGUGGCGAACGGGUGAGUAACACGUGGGUGAUCUGCCCCUUACUUUGGGAUAAGCCUGGGAAACUGGGUCUAAUACUGGAUAGGACCAUGCUGUAGGUGGUGUGGUGGAAAGAUUAGUUUCGGUAAGGGAUGAGCUCGCGGCCUAUCAGCUUGUUGGUGGGGUAAUGGCCUACCAAGGCGUCGACGGGUAGCCGGCCUGAGAGGGUGGACGGCCACAUUGGGACUGAGAUACGGCCCAGACUCCUACGGGAGGCAGCAGUGGGGAAUAUUGCACAAUGGGCGCAAGCCUGAUGCAGCGACGCCGCGUGGGGAAUGACGGCCUUCGGGUUGUAAACUCCUUUCAGCCAUGACGAAGCCCUUGUGGUGACGGUAGUGGUAGAAGAAGCACCGGCUAACUACGUG